rnacentral:rRNA from 1 species
AGAUUGAACGCUAGCGGGAUGCUUUACACAUGCAAGUCGAACGGCAGCGCGGACUUCGGUCUGGCGGCGAGUGGCGAACGGGUGAGUAAUAUAUCGGAACGUGCCCAGUAGCGGGGGGAUAACUACGCGAAAGCGUGGCUAAUACCGCAUACGCCCUACGGGGAAAGGGGGGGAUUCUUUCGAGAACCUCUCACUAUUGGAGCGGCCGAUAUCAGAUUAGCUAGUUGGUGAGGUAAAGGCUCACCAAGGCGACGAUCUGUAGCUGGUUUGAGAGGACGACCAGCCACACUGGGACUGAGACACGGCCCAGACUCCUACGGGAGCAGCAGUGGGAAUUUUGGACAAGUGGGGGAAACCCUGAUCCAGCCAUCCCGCGUGUGCGAUGAAGGCCUUCGGGUGUAAGCUACGUUGUCGAGGUAAGAAACGGUACGUACCGUUAACGUACGGUACCGGUCGACGUGACGGUACC